rnacentral:rRNA from 1 species
CAAAAACAUAGCCACAUGAGACAUGUGUGGUGACUUCUGCUCAAUGAUGAAUUAAAUAGCCGCAGUACCCUGACUGUGCAAAGGUAGCAUAAUCACUUGGCUUAUAAUUGAAGUCUGGAAUGAAGGAAUGCACGGAUGGCCACUGUCUCAUUUCAAUAUACUGACUUUGCUUAGGGGGUGAAAAUUCCCACGGUGUAAUAUUAGACGAGAAGACCCUAGAAAUUUUGACCUGUUUUUGUUGGGGCGACAAGGUAGCGUAACCUGCCUAGACCAUGCGAAGCUGUUUUGCAGUUAAAGUAAAUUACUCUAGGGAUAACAGCAUAAUACAUAAGAGUUUGUGACCUCGAUGUUGGACUAGGAAAUUUGAGUUUAGAAGACAUAUAAUAACGCUCUGUUCGAGCAAUACCUCCUACAUGAUCUGAUUUCAGACCGG